rnacentral:lncRNA from 1 species
UGCUUCACCCUAGUAGAUCAGAAGGGCAUAGAAUAGUGCCUGGCAUGGGGUAGACAGUUAUUUCAUUUAUCUACUUCUGCAUAACCUCCCCCCCACCGACCCCUGCCUGAAAACUUAGUGUAUUAAAACUAACAAUUUCUCACAGUCGUGUAGGUUCAGCUUCACCUAGAGUCAGUUGGGCUCUGGCACAGCUGGAGGUUCCAAAUGGCCUCAUUCACAUGGCUGGCAGUUGGUGCUGGCUGGGGGCUGGGUCAGAAUGGGUCGUGGGUCAGGGGCCUUGCUUCUUCUCCACGUGGACCUCUCAGGAGCAUUUCCAGAGCAAAGAACAGGCUGACCACAGGUGGAAAACACACCUACAAGGCAUCCAUCGUAGCUCGCAGAAGAAUGGAACAGUGUGAUACCUGGAGCCUGUCAUGCCUGGAGACCAACAUCCCUGGACCCCUCCUUACUGCCCAUUUUCCCUGUAUAACUGCCUCAAGAUUCUGAAAUCCUCGAAGAUGAGUUUUUGAGACAUUAGUCACUGGUCUUCUGAUUAGCCGGCUAAUCUCAUUAAACUUCCUUUCUCGAUCUCUAA